rnacentral:rRNA from 1 species
UGAGGAAUAUUGCACAAUGGGCGAAAGCCUGAUGCAGCAACGCCGCGUGGGUGAAGAAGGUUUUCGGAUCGUAAAGCCCUUUUCUGUGUGACGAGAACGGACGGUAGCACAGGAAUAAGUGUCGGCUAACUACGUGCCAGCAGCCGCGGUAAAACGUAGGACGCAAGCGUUAUCCGGAGUUACUGGGCGUAAAGAGCGCGCAGGCGGAUGAUUAAGUCGUGUAUGAAAGCCCCUGGCUAAACUGGGGGAGGCUAGACGAUACUGGUCAUCUUGAGUGGGUGAGAGGGAUGUGGAAUUCCGCGUGUAGUGGUGAAAUGCGUAGAUAUGCGGAGGAACACCAGAGGCGAAGGCGACAUCCUGGCACUUAACUGACGCUGAGGCGCGAAAGCAUGGGUAGCGA